rnacentral:rRNA from 1 species
GACGAACGCUGGCGGCGUGCUUAACACAUGCAAGUCGAACGGAAAGGCCCUGCUUUUGUGGGGUGCCCGAGUGGCGAACGGGGGAGUAACAGGUGAGUAACCGGCCCUUGAUUUUGGGAUAACUUCAGGAAACUGGGGCUAAUACCGGAUAGGAGCUCCUGUUGCAUGGUGGGGGUGGGAAAGUUUCGGCGGUUGGGGAUGGACGCGCGGCUUAUCAGCUUGUUGGUGGGGUAGUGGCUUACCAAGGCUUGGACGGGUAGCCGGCCUGAGAGGGUGGACGGCCACAAUAGGACUGAGAUAGGGACCAGACGCCUACGGUAGGCAGCAGGGGGGAAUAUUGCCCAGUGAGCGGAAGCCUGAUGCGGAGACGCCGGGGGCGGGAUGACCGCCUUCGGGUUGUAAACCGCUUUCGCCUGUGACGAAGCGGGAGUGACGGUAAUGGGUAAAGAAGCACCGGCUAACUACGUG